GAAAAAACGGUUGAAAGGGACAGUCAUGUUUCCUUCAGGCCUUCAUAGCGACCCGGAGAUGGUGAGAGUCCGGGAUGGCCGGAAUCAUGUAGAUCAGCCCUUUAGUUUCCUUGCUGAACUCACAGUAGGUUAGGACGUUCAUCACGUUACGAUGCUCAAGAGGAAAAAGUGUAUGCUUGCUUUUUCUAAAAGGGUGGUACCGCGAGAUAAGCUUUCUCGUCCCUUAU
rfam:Bacillus subtilis subsp. subtilis str. 168 complete genome.